GCCCUUAGCUGGGUUCAUGAUUAAAAUCACGCAAAUGAGCUUUCGUUCUCUUACUUUUUGACUAGAAUCGAAACCAUACGCAUAAAGGUUCAGUGUCAUUUCAUCUGGAUAAAUAUGUCAUGUUUUGUUUGUUUUAUUGUCCGACAUUGAAUAUCAGAUCUCACGAGGGUUUCGUUUUAUUGACUCUGGAAGAGAAAGCUUACAGCAGAUCUACGGAGCAACACUAUUAUUUAUUCUAACAAACAGCUGUUAACAUGAUGGGAUGCAGUUUUUUGCUCACACUGUUUGUUUUGCUCCUUCAUGGUGUUUUUGGUGAUGACGUGGUGACAGUGAUGGAGGGAGAUACAGUCACUCUAAACACUGAUAUAAUCAAAAAAGAGCAUGACAAGAUGCUGUGGUAUUUUGAAGACACUCGCAUCGCUCUGAUUAAUGUACAUCCCAACACAAGCUGUUUAUAUGAUGGUGAAGACGGAAGAUUCAGAGACAGACUGAAGGUGGACUAUGAGACUGGAUCUAUGAUCAUCACUAACAUCACAACUGAACACCUGGACGGUUAUGAAGCAGAGAUCAUCAGAAGUGAGAGUUCAGGAAAAAGACAAAGUUUAAACAGAAACCGCAAGUGUGACAGCACCAAAAUCACCAAAAAAAUCAGCAUCAGUCAUGAUGAUACUAUAAAAACUUUCAAUGUGAUCAUCACUGCUGCUCUGUCCGAUCAAGUCAAAACUGAUGAAGAGCCCCGUAUGGAGAAGAGGGAGUUUUGACUUGGCUGUUCUAGAUUCAGGUCUGUCUUCAGCUGCUUUAGCAGGAAUUGUUGUUGGUGUUUAUUGCUGUUCUGCUGCUGCUGCUGUUGUAGCUGCUGCUGCUGUGCUUCACUAUCGCCGCAGGAGCUCCAGAAAUACAGACAUGGAGAAAACCAAGUAUGAAGGAUUGCUCAGAUGAGAAAAGAUACUGUACUGAAAACUGACAUCACACUAAGAUCUGUGUUUGAUUUCACCUGCAUGGACAAAAUCAUCCUAAGUAAAAAACUACAGUCAGACAAACAUGUGGAAAAAACAC